AAAAGAAACUAACAAGGAUUCCCCUAGUAACGGCGAGUGAAGCGGGAUGAGCUCAAAUUUAAAAUCUGGCGGUCUCAGAUCGUCCGAGUUGUAGUCUAGAGAAGCGUUUUCCGUGCUGGCCUGUGUACAAGUCCGUUGGAACACGGCGUCAUAGAGGGUGAGAAUCCCGUCCUUGACACAGAUCUCCAGUGCUUUGUGAUGCGCUCUCAAAGAGUCGAGUUGUUUGGGAAUGCAGCUCAAAAUGGGUGGUAAAUUCCAUCUAAAGCUAAAUAUUGGCGAGAAACCGAUAGCGAACAAGUACCGUGAGGGAAAGAUGAAAAGCACUUUGGAAAGAGAGUUAAACAGUACGUGAAAUUGUUGAAAGGGAAACGAUUGAAGUCAGUCAUGCUUUCCGAGACUCAGCCGGUUCUGCCGGUGUACUUCUCGGUUUGCAGGCCAGCAUCAGUUUUGGGCGGUGGAAAAGGUUGGCGGGAAUGUGGCAUCCUCGGAUGUGUUAUAGCCCGCUUUCGAAUACAUCGCCCGGGACUGAGGAACGCAGCACGCCUCUUGUAGGUCGGUCUUCGGACACGUCCGUGCUUAGGAUGCUGGCAUAAUGGCUUUAAACGACCCGUCUUGAAAC
rnacentral:rRNA from 1 species